CUAGUCCUCAUCUUGUAUAGAAGAUGUUCUCGUGAUUUAGCUUUGUUUGUUGUCUCGAAUCGUGCUAAAUCUUUGAUUCCCGAGCGUUUUUCUUUUUCCCUAUUUUCGAAGCUAUUUUUAGGAAAUUUUCGUUCUUCGUGUUUGAGCCGAAUCUCGUGGACUUGGUUGAAGGGAAAUGAUGCUAGGACCUUAGGGAGCAUCUUUGAUUCGUUCCCCUUCUAAAUCUCUCACGGAUCCGGCUUGGAUUUCGAAUUUCUUCCGAAUCGUGUUCUUGAGUUAGGGUUUCGAUUUUCUCCAAGAUUAAUGAUGUAUACUUGAGUUUUUCAGGAUUUGUUUCAUGGAUCUAUUUGCCUUAGGCGUAUUGCAUCCUUGUCUCAAGUUUCGUCGCGUUUCACGGAGAUUUGACGGAGGAUUUCGGAUUUGAAGUUGAACGUGUUCUUCCCUGUUCUCUGGUUGUUCUUGGUGUUCUUGCUCUGUUCGGUCGCAGGUCGUUGCGUGGAGGAGGCACGGGACGUGCACGUGAGCCAGACCGAAGCCAGCAUCAGCUGCAGGGAGCAGUCCAGCUCGCGGCCCAGCUACGCACGCGGCCCAGGAGAAUUCAACCGGCAGGCGGCCCAGGCAGUGGAUCUGUUCCAGCUCAGGUGCGCCAUCAAGCAGGCCCGCAGGCCAACAGCAAGCAGUGGGCAGUAGCAGCCCAGCUGGCCAAAGGGAGCAGCUCAGCCCAGCUGCACAUCAGGCAACCCAGGAGCAGGCUCCCAUUCACCCCCCUCUGGUCGCCCUUUCGGUCCUUCAACAUUCCAACAUCUCGACGAUAAUAUUGGCCAUCAUCAUCCAUCAGCGAAUAUUCAUCAUCAUCAUCGGUCAAAUAAACAUGGUUGGGCAGACAGCACGAAUAGUUAUGCCCAAUGGACAAAGCAUCAUCCUUGAAGGUGUCAAUAUACAAAAUAUCUUGCUUGUCAAAGUCAACCUUGUUGAACAUUUCAA